AGAGAUGAGGCUGUGCUAGAGAGAGAACCUGCACACAGGUGCUGCAUGUCUGUUGUCAGCUUGUGUCGUGAGAUGUUGGGUUAAGUCCCGCAGCGAGCGCAACCCUUGCCUUUAGUUGCUAAGAAAGGGCACUUUAAGGGGACUGCCGGUGACAAGCCGGAGGAAGGUGGGGAUGACGUCAAGUCCUCAUGCCCCUUAUGUGUGGGGCUACACACGUCAUACAAUGGCCGGUACAAAGGGCAGCCAACCCGCGAGGGGGAGCCAAUCCCAUAAAGCCGGUCGUAGUCCGGAUCGCAGUCUGCAACUCGCCUGCGUGAAGUCGGAAUCGCUAGUAAUCGUGGAUCAGCAUGUCGCGGUGAAUACGUUCCCGGGUCUUGUACACACCGCCCGUCA
rnacentral:rRNA from 1 species